GAUUGCCCCACCAUCAACACCCAAAGCUGAAGUUCUACUUAAACUAUUCCUUG
rnacentral:tRNA from 1 species